rnacentral:rRNA from 1 species
AGGAGCUUGCUCUUCUUGGAUGAGUUGCGAACGGGUGAGUAACGCGUAGGUAACCUGCCUUGUAGCGGGGGAUAACUAUUGGAAACGAUAGCUAAUACCGCAUAACAAUGGAUGACACAUGUCAUUUAUUUGAAAGGGGCAAUUGCUCCACUACAAGAUGGACCUGCGUUGUAUUAGCUAGUAGGUGAGGUAACGGCUCACCUAGGCGACGAUACAUAGCCGACCUGAGAGGGUGAUCGGCCACACUGGGACUGAGACACGGCCCAGACUCCUACGGGAGGCAGCAGUAGGGAAUCUUCGGCAAUGGGGGCAACCCUGACCGAGCAACGCCGCGUGAGUGAAGAAGGUUUUCGGAUCGUAAAGCUCUGUUGUAAGUCAAGAACGAGUGUGAGAGUGGAAAGUUCACACUGUGACGGUAGCUUACCAGAAAGGGACGGCUAACUACGUGCCAGCAGCCGCGGUAAUACGUAGGUCCCGAGCGUUGUCCGGAUUUAUUGGGCGUAAAGCGAGCGCAGGCGGUUUGAUAAGUCUGAAGUUAAAGGCUGUGGCUCAACCAUAGUUCGCUUUGGAAACUGUCAAACUUGAGUGCAGAAGGGGAGAGUGGAAUUCCAUGUGUAGCGGUGAAAUGCGUAGAUAUAUGGAGGAACACCGGUGGCGAAAGCGGCUCUCUGGUCUGUAACUGACGCUGAGGCUCGAAAGCGUGGGGAGCGAACAGGAUUAGAUACCCUGGUAGUCCA